UACGGGGGGGGCAAGCGUUGUUCGGAAUUACUGGGCGUAAAGGGCUCGUAGGUGGCCAACUAAGUCAGACGUGAAAUCCCUCGGCUUAACCGGGGAACUGCGUCUGAUACUGGAUGGCUUGAGUGUGGGAGAGGGAUGCGGAAUUCCAGGUGUAGCGGUGAAAUGCGUAGAUAUCGGAAGGAACAUCAGUGGCGAAAGCGACUUCCUGGACCAGUACCGACGUUCAGGCACGAAAGCGUGGGGAGCAAACAGG
rnacentral:rRNA from 1 species